rnacentral:rRNA from 1 species
CCUACGGGAGGCAGCAGUAGGGAAUAUUGGACAAUGGGCGAAAGCCUGAUCCAGCAAUGCCGCGUGAGUGAUGAAGGCCUUAGGGUUGUAAAGCUCUUUUACCCGAGAUGAUAAUGACAGUAUCGGGAGAAUAAGCACCGGCUAACUACGUGCCAGCAGCCGCGGUAA